rnacentral:rRNA from 1 species
AGAGUUUGAUCAUGGCUCAGGAUAAACGCUGGCGGCGCACAUAAGACAUGCAAGUCGAACGGAAGUCGUUAUAAUUGAUUCAGAGUGAAAGAUUUAUCCGGAACGAAGAAGAUUUUAUAACAAUGGCUUUAGUGGCGGACUGGUGAGUAACGCGUAAGCAAUCUGCCUAUCAUAGGGGAAUAACAGUGAGAAAUCAUUGCUAAUACCGCAUAUGCCAUGAACAUCGCAUGAUGUAAAAUGGGAAAGGAGUAAUCCGCUGAUAGAUGAGCUUGCGUCUGAUUAACUUGUUGGUGGGGUAACGGCCUACCAAGGUGACGAUCAGUAGCCGGACUGAGAGGUUGAACGGCCACAUUGGGACUGAGAUACGGCCCAGACUCCUACGGGAGGCAGCAGUCGGGAAUAUUGCGCAAUGGAGGAAACUCUGACGCAGUGACGCCGCGUAUAGGAAGAAGGUUUUCGGAUUGUAAACUAUUGUCGUUAGGGAAGAUAAAAGACAGUACCUAAGGAGGAAGCUCCGGCUAACUACGUGCCAGCAGCCGCGGUAAUACGUAGGGAGCAAGCGUUAUCCGGAUUUAUUGGGUGUAAAGGGUGCGUAGACGGGAAAUUAAGUUAGUUGUGAAAUCCCUCGGCUCAACUGAGGAACUGCAACUAAAACUGAUUUUCUUGAGUGCAGGAGAGGAAAGAGGAAUUCCUAGUGUAGCGGUGAAAUGCGUAGAUAUUAGGAGGAACACCAGUGGCGAAGGCGUCUUUCUGGACUGUAACUGACGUUGAGGCACGAAAGUGUGGGGAGCAAACAGGAUUAGAUACCCUGGUAGUCCACACCGUAAACGAUGGAUACUAGGUGUAGGAUGUGUUAAACAUUCUGUGCCGUCGCAAACGCAAUAAGUAUCCCACCUGGGGAGUACGGCCGCAAGGUUGAAACUCAGAGGAAUUGACGGGGGCCCGCACAAGCAGUGAAGUAUGUGGUUUAAUUCGAAGCAACGCGAAGAACCUUACCAGGGCUUGACAUAUAGAGGAAUAUAUUAGAGAUAGUAUAGCUCUUCGGAGUCUCUAUACAGGUGGUGCAUGGUUGUCGUCAGCUCGUGUCGUGAGAUGUUGGGUUAAGUCCCGCAACGAGCGCAACCCCUAUUUCUAGUUGCCAGCACGUUAAGGUGGGAACUCUAGAGAGACUGCCGGUGAUAAAUCGGAGGAAGGUGGGGACGACGUCAAGUCAUCAUGCCCUUUAUGUCCUGGGCUACACACGUACUACAAUGGUCGCUACAGAGGGAAGCAAGAUAGUGAUAUGGAGCAAAACCCUAAAAACGAUCUCAGUUCGGAUUGAAGGCUGAAAUUCGCCUUCAUGAAGCUGGAAUUGCUAGUAAUGGCAGGUCAGCAUACUGCCGUGAAUACGUUCCCGGGCCUUGUACACACCGCCCGUCACACCAUGAGAGUUGGGAAUACCCGAAGCCUGUGAGCUAACUUUUAGAGGCAGCAGUCGAAGGUAGAAUCAAUGAUUGGGGUGAAGUCGUAACAAGGUAGCCGUAUCGGAAGGUGCGGCUGGAUCACCUCCUU